CGAAUACAACCAUUGCUUUCG
rnacentral:siRNA from 1 species